CAGGCCAUGCCUCAGUACGGCGAGUGAGCGGCAAGAGCUCAAAUUUGAAAGCUGGCUCCUUCGGGGUCCGCAUUGUAAUUUGCAGAGGAUGCUUCGGGUGCGGCCCCUGUCUAAGUGCCCUGGAACGGGCCGUCAGAGAGGGUGAGAAUCCCGUCUGGGAUGGGGUGUCCGCGCCCGUGUGAAGCUCCUUCGACGAGUCGAGUUGUUUGGGAAUGCAGCUCUAAAUGGGUGGUAAAUUUCAUCUAAAGCUAAAUACUGGCCGGAGACCGAUAGCGCACAAGUAGAGUGAUCGAAAGAUGAAAAGCACUUUGAAAAGAGAGUUAAAAAGCACGUGAAAUUGUUGAAAGGGAAGCGCUUGCGACCAGACUCGCCUCCAGGGUUCAGCCGGCAUUCGUGCCGGUGUACUUCCCUGGGGGCGGGCCAGCGUCGGUUUGGGCGGCCGGUCAAAGGCUCCCGGAAUGUAGUGCCCUCCGGGGCACCUUAUAGCCGGGAGUGCAAUGCGGCCAGCCUGGACCGAGGAACGCGCUUCGGCACGGACGCUGGCAUAAUGGUCGUAAACGACCCGUCUUGAAACCACGGACCA
rnacentral:rRNA from 1 species